rnacentral:rRNA from 1 species
GAUGAACGCUGGCGGCGUGCCUAAUACAUGCAAGUCGAGCGAACGGACGAGAAGCUUGCUUCUCUGAUGUUAGCGGCGGACGGGUGAGUAACACGUGGAUAACCUACCUAUAAGACUGGGAUAACUUCGGGAAACCGUAGCUAAUACCGGAUAAUAUUUUGAACCGCAUGGUUCAAAAGUGAAAGACGGUCUUGCUGUCACUUAUAGAUGGAUCCGCGCUGCAUUAGCUAGUUGGUAAGGUAACGGCUUACCAGGGCAACGAUGCAUAGCCGACCUGAGAGGGGGAUCGGCCAAACUGGAACUGAGACACGGUCCAGACUCCUACGGGAGGCAGCAGUAGGGAAUCUUCCGCAAUGGGCGAAAGCCUGACGGAGCAACGCCGCGUGAGUGAUGAAGGUCUUCGGAUCGUAAAACUCUGUUAUUAGGGAAGAACAUAUGUGUAAGUAACUGUGCACAUCUUGACGGUACCUAAGCAGAAAGCCACGGCUAACUACGU